rnacentral:rRNA from 1 species
AGCUCCAAUAGCGUAUAUUAAAGUUGUUGCAGUUAAAAAGCUCGUAGUUGGAUUUCUGUUAAAAACAAGUAGCCCGCUCUCUGAGUGUUGUGUUUACGUCGUUUUUAGCAUUCUUCUGUUUUGCGGUUAGUGUUCUUUAUUGAGCGCUAAAUUCGUAGGCAGGACUUUUACUUUGAGAAAAUUAGAGUGUUCUAAGCAGGCUAGUGCCCUGAAUACUGCAGCAUGGAAUAAUAAUAUAGGAUUUCAGUUCUAUUUUAUUGGUUCUAAGGAUUGAAAUAAUGAUUAAUAGGGACAGUUGGGGGCAUUCGUAUUUAACUGUCAGAGGUGAAAUUCUUAGAUUUGUUAAAGACGAACUACUGCGAAAGCAUUUGCCAAGGAUGUUCUCAUUAAUCAAGAACGA